UACGUAGGGGGCGAGCGUUGUCCGGAAUUAUUGGGCGUAAAGAGCCCGUAGGCGGUCUGUCGCGUCGAUCGUGAAAACUUGGGGCUUAACCCUGAGCUUGCGGUCGAUACGGGCAUGACUGGAGUUCGGCAGGGGAGACUGGAAUUCCUGGUGUAGCGGUGAAAUGCGCAGAUAUCAGGAGGAACACCGGUGGCGAAGGCGGGUCUCUGGGCCGAUACUGACGCUGAGGAGCGAAAGCGUGGGUAGCAAACGGG
rnacentral:rRNA from 1 species